UUGAACGCUGGCGGCAUGCCUUACACAUGCAAGUCGAACGGCAGCGCGGGGCAACCUGGCGGCGAGUGGCGAACGGGUGAGUAAUAUAUCGGAACGUACCCUGGAGUGGGGGAUAACGUAGCGAAAGUUACGCUAAUACCGCAUACGAUCUAAGGAUGAAAGUGGGGGAUCGCAAGACCUCAUGCUCCUGGAGCGGCCGAUAUCUGAUUAGCUAGUUGGUGGGGUAAAGGCCUACCAAGGCAUCGAUCAGUAGCUGGUCUGAGAGGACGACCAGCCACACUGGGACUGAGACACGGCCCAGACUCCUACGGGAGGCAGCAGUGGGGAAUUUUGGACAAUGGGGGCAACCCUGAUCCAGCAAUGCCGCGUGAGUGAAGAAGGCCUUCGGGUUGUAAAGCUCUUUCAGCAGGAACGAAACGGUCGGCUUUAAUAAAGUCGGCUAAUGACGGUACCUGCAGAAGAAGCACCGGCUAACUACGU
rnacentral:rRNA from 1 species